AUUGGCUCCGAUCUAUACACCAGUAUCUAGAGAACCAACUCUGUCUCCAGCCUCUCCAGCGCAGAUGCCAGCGACUCUGGGCCCUACCAGUCCUGAACUAAUACCAGCUCCUAAGUUUGCUGUGGCCUCGGACGUUCUAAGAGCUCCAGAAGACGCAAGAGUUCCAGAUUCUCCCAAGGUGGUGUUGCGUAGAUCCCAAAGGUCUACUCAAGGACAGCUUCCCGCUAGAUAUAGGGAGUAAAAACAGUAUCACACAUAGUCUAACUAAUUUAGUAAGUCUAUAUAAUGUAUAUACAAGUUAGUCAAAAUGUCUAGUCUGGACUGUAUUUGUACAUUACCAGUCCAUAUUGUUGAAAUGUUUAUAUCUAUCUAACAUUUUCCUGUCCUUGUGUACAGGGUGCUCUCCUGGCCAGAGGGUUUCCUAGAGUGACAGAAAUGCUGUAUAUAGAGAUGAUUCGGCAGCGACAUGAAGAUUGAAUUGUUUGGGGUUUGUUCUGUCUCUUCUCUCAUUGCGCUGAAUGAAAAUGAUUUUGCAACAAAUACUACAUAAAUGGUGCCAUCUAGUGUCAAGAAAGGAAACUACAUCACAUAUGA